GCUUGGUUGGCUCAGCUGGUUAGAGCGCCGGUCUCAUAUGGCAAUAUGAGUGAUGAGUGCAUCACGCAAUCCGGAGAUCAUGAGUUCGAUCCUCAUACCGAGCA